rnacentral:rRNA from 1 species
AUGAACGCUGGCGGCGUGCCUAACACAUGCCAGUCGAGCGGCAGCGAGGGGUGCUUGCACCCUGUCGGCGAGCGGCGGACGGCUGAGUAACGCGUGGGAACGUGCCCCAAAGUGAGGAAUAACUGCCCGAAAGGGUAGCUAAUACCGCAUAUUAUCUUCGGAUCAAAGGAUUUAUCCGCUUUGGGAGCGGCUCGCGUCGGAUUAGGUAGUUGGUGAGGUAAUGGCUCACCAAGCCGACGAUCCGUAGCUGGUCUGAGAGGAUGACCAGCCAGACUGGAACUGAGACACGGUCCAGACUCCUACGGGAGGCAGCAGUGAGGAAUCUCCCACAAUGGGCGAAAGCCUGAUGGAGCAACGCCGCGUGCAGGACGAAGGCCUUCGGGUUGUAAACUGCUUUUAUAAGUGAGGAAUAUGACGGUAACUGAUGAAUAAGGAUCGGCUAACUACGUG